AUAAGGAUAUAUUUCUUAUGACUAUGGUUAAUUUUCUGGUUUUUGGUAACGAAUUAAUCCGUUAAUUUGACAAAAAAGCGCAAUCCGUUACUUUUUUUAACGGACUGUUUUUAGAGUGUGGAAUCUAGUACAAGUUCAACAAAAAGAUCUGCAGCGAGCUAUAACUGGUACAGGACCAUUUACUCUGGCACAAGAAUACCAACAGCAUGUUAUUUCUCCACAACAAUGGUCACAAAUGUCAACUGAAGACAGACAUAAAGCAGUGAAAAGGUAAUUCUAUACGAGGAUACCAAGCACAAUGUUAACAUCGACUGACUGAAAACUCAAAGUUCCUAUGCCCAAGGGCAGUAAAAAACCAGGUCAAAGGAAAAGGCCAACAGCUGAACGAUCAAUGAAAAUGCCGAAACAGCAAAGAAAAACAUGCUUUGGCAAACAAACAGAAAUAAACUGGAUUGUCUCCUUUAAAUAUAACUUUAUAACUUUACGACUUGUAAAUAAUAAGAAAUUAACAGAUGAUUGGCGCACCCAAGAGGGCCCGAUUUCUAUUAAA